GAAUCUGUAGCUCAGCCCGGUUAGAGCGCUACGUUGACAUCGUAGAGGUCAUUGGUUCAAAUCCAAUCAGAUUCACCA
rnacentral:tRNA from 2 species